rnacentral:lncRNA from 1 species
AGCUAUAGAGCGACAAAGAAUAAAGAGAAUAAGAGAGAAAGAAGAAGAAUCUUCUGUUACUACAAUAUUGCGGUAUUCAAUUUCCUACUAAGGUAAGGGGUAUUAUUUCUUUCUUAUUCGUGAAGAGAACUUCUGUUAUUUCAUUCUUUAUUAUUCUGUUGGAAUAACCUGUAUACGCGGGCUACCCUAUACUUGGUGAAAUUCUUUUGUUAUUCCAUUCUUUAUCAUUAUGUUAGAAUAACCUGUCUAUGCGAAGUACCGCAUACAUGGUGAAAUUCUUCUGUUAUUCAAUUUUUAUUAUUCUGUUGGAACAUCAUGUCGGUGCGUUACGCAUGACCUGGUUCCAUUAUUUAUUAUUCUGUUGGAAUAUCCUGUCUGUGCGUUUACGCAUGACCUGGUUGGAAUAUCAUGUCUGUGCGUUUGCGCAUGAUCUGGUUCCGUUAUUAAUUAUGAUGUUGGAAUAACCUGUCUGUGCGGUCUAUCGCAUGCCUGGUGAUUUCUUUUGUUAUCUCAUUCUUUAUUAUACUCAGUUGGUUAAAGUUUUGACUUUUAUACUCCAUGAAAUUAGUGAAAUAUCCUUGAUAUUUGCGUUUCAUCCAGUAUCUUUUCAUGAAAAUAUUCUUCUGAGCAUUCUUGAGUUUUACUCUGCAAAGAAGAAUCUUGUUGACAAUUUGAACGUUAUUAGUUCCUGGAUAAAUUAAUUCUUGAACUUGUUUUAUUAAAUUCUUAUAUCAUUGCCAUCAUCCUCAUGUUUAUAUUAUGUUGAAAGUCAUCUGUGGCCUGUAGUGCAUAGAUGGACUUGGUAUGAUUAUGACCAGGGAUUAUUCGGUGUAAUCAUGACCGUAAUAUUACAAAUGAUGUGGAAAAAGUCCUCAUUGGCCCGUAGUGCAUUGAUGGACAAUUGUUGGCAUGAUCAUGACCAUUGAUGAAUACACGAAUAUCCUUGGCCGUAGUGCAUGGAUAAUUUGUGGUUGUGAUACUAAUGAAUAUCCUUGGCCGUAGUGCAGGGAUGAUGUGGAUUAUUUAUUAAGCUGAGUCUCAGCGAUAAAAGUGAUGAAAAACCUUUUAAAUCAUAAAAGAUAGUAGAUUUUAUUCUCUACUUGACUCUUUUAAUGGAUUGCUUGUUCCGCUGCAGUUAAACUUGAUGUUUGUUAUAUUUUAUCAGUUUAACAUUAUUGAAGGUUAAUGAUAAUUUAUUUUGCAUUAUCUUAGUCAUAAUAUUUCUUACUGAGCUAGUUGAGCUCACCAUUUCUUUCACUGUUCUCUUCAGGAAAUGAGAACGUAGCCGGGACUAGUCGAGGAACGGAGUGACGGUCCAGAUGAUAGUAUUAGUAAUCCUCACUAUUCUGUUAAAUAGUGUGAAAAUAAAUGUAAAGAGGACUCUUUUAAGUGUGGAUAUUGUCUAGAUGACAAUAUUCUUAUUAAACUCUCAGUUUACAUUUUGUCGUAUUUUACACGACAGCUAUAUUAUUAAGUUGUAUUUAAAUUUUUUACCAUGUAUUUGGCUACUCAAGAUGGGUGAUGUAUACCUAUUUUGGGGGCGUCACAAGUCAUAUUUGUUAUAAGCAUAAAAUUUCAAUUGAAA